GACAAACUCCGAAUGCCAAUUAAUUUAACUUGGGAGUCAGAACAUGGGUGAUAAGGUCCGUGUUCGAAAGGGAAACAGCCCAGACCACCAGCUAAGGUCCCAAAAUAUAUGUUAAGUGGAAAAGGAUGUGGCGUUGCCCAGACAACUAGGAUGUUGGCUUAGAAGCAGCCAUCAUUUAAAGAGUGCGUAAUAGCUCACUAGUCGAGUGACACUGCGCCGAAAAUGUACCGGGGCUAAACAUAUUACCGAAGCUGUGGAUUGUCCUUUGGACAAUGGUAGGAGAGCGUUCUAAGGGCGUUGAAGCAUGAUCGUAAGGACAUGUGGAGCGCUUAGAAGUGAGAAUGCCGGUGUGAGUAGCGAAAGACGGGUGAGAAUCCCGUCCACCGAUUGACUAAGGUUUCCAGAGGAAGGCUCGUCCGCUCUGGGUUAGUCGGGUCCUAAGCUGAGGCCGACAGGCGUAGGCGAUGGAUAACAGGUUGAUAUUCCUGUACCACCUAUAAUCGUUUUAAUCGAUGGGGGGACGCAGUAGGAUAGGCGAAGCGUGCGAUUGGAUUGCACGUCUAAGCAGUAAGGCUGAGUAUUAGGCAAAUCCGGUACUCGUUAAGGCUGAGC
rnacentral:rRNA from 1 species